rnacentral:rRNA from 1 species
UACGGGGGGAGCGAGCGUUGUUCGGAUUUACUGGGCGUAAAGGGCGCGUAGGCGGCCACCGCAAGUCGACUGUGAAAUCUCCGGGCUUAACCCGGAAAGGUCAGCCGAUACUGCGGGGCUAGAGUGCAGAAGGGGCAACUGGAAUUCUCGGUGUAGCGGUGAAAUGCGUAGAUAUCGAGAGGAACACCUGCGGCGAAGGCGGGUUGCUGGGCUGACACUGACGCUGAGGCGCGAAAGCUAGGGGAGCGAACGGG